CACGUAGGGUGCGAGCGUUGUCCGGAAUUAUUGGGCGUAAAGAGCUCGUAGGCGGUGUGUCGCGUCGGCCGUGAAAACCUGCAGCUUAACUGUGGGCUUGCGGUCGAUACGGGCAUCACUGGAGUUCGGCAGGGGAGACUGGAAUCCCUGGUGUAGCGGUGGAAUGCGCAGAUAUCAGGAGGAACACCGGUGGCGAAGGCGGGUCUCUGGGCCGAUACUGACGCUGAGGAGCGAAAGCGUGGGGAGCGAACAGG
rnacentral:rRNA from 1 species